GACGAACGCUGGCGGCGUGCUUAACACAUGCAAGUCGAACGGAAAGGCCCUGCUUUUGUGGGGUGCUCGAGUGGCGAACGGGUGAGUAACACGUGAGUAACCUGCCCUUGACUUUGGGAUAACUUCAGGAAACUGGGGCUAAUACCGGAUAGGAGCUCCUGCUGCAUGGUGGGGGGUGGAAAGUUUCGGCGGUUGGGGAUGGACUCGCGGCUUAUCAGCUUGUUGGUGGGGUAGUGGCCUACCCAGGCGUUGACGGGUAGCCGGCCUGAGUGGGUGAUCGGCGACACUGGAGGUUAGACGCGCUCCAUGGGACUGCGGGACGCAGCAGUGGCGUACGGGGGGCAGCAGGCGGGAAUCUGACCCAGCGGGCGCACGUCUGAGGCGACAGCGUUGGGGUCGUGAAGCCCGCUUGUGGGGUGUGAACCGCUUUCGCCUGUUACGAAGCGGGAGUGACGGUAAUGGGUAAAGAAGCACCGGCUAACUACGUG
rnacentral:rRNA from 1 species